AGCUCAUGCUACUGGCCACGGGACUAACCUCGUCUCAAGGAGUUAAGGAGCUGGCUAGUGCCCUCCUCUCUCCUAGACUCCCCUGACUCUCUUCCUGCCACCCAGCGCUGGGGGUCCCAGGAGACUGCACGCCACGGUGACCACACUGAAAGACCCCGGACGCCUGCGGCAGGCCGGGCCCACCGGCCAGAGUCAGGCACAUUAUCAGAAGAAUGCAUGAAGUAAUGAGGAGUUAACAAGAGCAGAGGCUUCAAGUAGCUCCCUAAUGAAGAGCCAGGAGAGACAUUUCAUUACAUACAAGCUGUCUUUUCCUAAACAUGAUGGAAGCCAUUGCUCAUCAGGGAUUGUGUCAUUAAAAUGGGGCUUUUAUACCUGAGGGAAGACAUCUUGAUUCUGCUGGCCCAGAAAGAUUUGAAGAAAUACAUCAGAAUGAAUGGGACCCUGUUACCAUCCCUCCUGCCACAGCUUUCAAAGGGAACCUGUGUCUGUAGAAUGUGGUCAUGGCUCGAGCUACAGGAAUAAGAAGAAAGAAUGAAUAUGGGGCCGGAAAUAAGCAGGCCAUCAUCUGGAAAAGUAUAAAACACAGAAGUUUA